UAGGGAAUCUUCCACAAUGGACGCAAGUCUGAUGGAGCAACGCCGCGUGAGUGAAGAAGGGUUUCGGCUCGUAAAGCUCUGUUGUUAAAGAAGAACGUGGGUAAGAGUAACUGUUUACCCAGUGACGGUAUUUAACCAGAAAGCCACGGCUAGCUACGUGCCAG
rnacentral:rRNA from 1 species